UAAAGAUUAAAAACAUGAUAAAAAAUUAAAAUAAAAUAAAAUAAAAUAAUUCAGUUUUGAUGUGUUGUCUCAUAUCCAACGCUCGUUUAACGUCAUUAACUUGACGCCUCACCUUUCAAGUUAAAUAGUAUAAUUCAUGUUAGACCUGACAUCAACUUUCUUCUUUGUGACCAUCAAAAUUAUUUGUUCCGCUUUUUUAUUCAAUGCAAUUGGGUAAGAAAGCUUGAACAAGUAUGAUGGAACUCAGUUUGGUUCCAUUAUUUUCUAUU
rnacentral:lncRNA from 1 species